rnacentral:rRNA from 1 species
GGUGAACGCUGGCGGCGUGCCUAACACAUGCAAGUCGAGCGGGUACCCGCAAGGGUACCAGCGGCGCACGGGUGAGUAACACGUGGGUAAUCUACCCCUCGGAGGGGGAUAACCGGGGGAAACUCCGGCUAAUACCCCAUACGAUCCAACAACACAAGUUGUUGGAUGAAAGGAGCGUUUGCUCCGCCGAGGGAUGAGCCCGCGGCCCAUCAGGUAGUUGGUGGGGUAAUGGCCCACCAAGCCUACGACGGGUAGCCGGCCUGAGAGGGUGGUCGGCCACAAGGGCACUGAGACACGGGCCCUACUCCUACGGGAGGCAGCAGUGGGGAAUCUUGGACAAUGGGCGAAAGCCUGAUCCAGCGACGCCGCGUGGGGGAUGAAGCCCUUCGGGGUGUAAACCCCUGUUGCGAGGGGGGAAUAAGGCCUGGAGGAAAUGCCAGGCCGAUGACUGUACCUCGCGAGGAAGCCCCGGCUAACUACGUGCCAGCAGCCGCGGUAAUACGUAGGGGGCGAGCGUUACCCGGAUUCACUGGGCGUAAAGCGGGUGUAGGCGGCUCGGUAAGUCGGGUGUGAAAUCCCACAGCUCAACUGUGGAAUUGCGCCCGAAACUGCUGAGCUUGGGGCCGGUAGAGGGAGACGGAACUGCCGGUGUAGGGGUGAAAUCCGUAGAUAUCGGCAGGAACGCCGGUGGGGAAGCCGGUCUCCUGGGCCGCGCCCGACGCUGAGACCCGAAAGCUAGGGGAGCGAACC